UGUUAAGUAGGUUCAGUGGUUUGAGUGUUGGACUAGGGCACUGGGAGACCAGGGUUCGAAUCCCAGCUUGGCCA